ACAGUCGUGGCCGAGUGGUUAAGGCGAUGGACUAGGAAUCCAUUGGGGUCUCCCCGCACAAAUUAGAAUCCUGUCGACUGCG
rfam:Ixodes scapularis strain Wikel colony gcontig_1108379188440, whole genome shotgun sequence.